GGAGAAGCAAAGUGAUGAGCAAUACCAGCUGGAGUCCCAAAAAGGCAUGAAUGUGUGUCUGUGUAUCUGUAUCCUUGUCUGUGCAUGCACAUGUGUGUCUGAGCCUAUGAAUGUGUGUGUGUGACUGGUUGUAGGGAACUAGCUAUGUGCCUUGUAUUGGGCCAUGACAGUCAAACUGAUAAGAUCUGAUUGCUUC
rnacentral:snoRNA from 1 species